rnacentral:rRNA from 1 species
CCUCAAAGUGGGGGAUAGCCUUCCGAAAGGAAGAUUAAUACCGCAUAAUAUGAGAGAAUCGCAUGAUUUUCUUAUCAAAGAUUUAUCGCUUUGAGAUGGACCCGCGGCGCAUUAGCUAGUUGGUAAGGUAACGGCUUACCAAGGCAACGAUGCGUAGCCGACCUGAGAGGGUGAUCGGCCACAUUGGAACUGAGACACGGUCCAGACUCCUACG